rnacentral:rRNA from 1 species
AGUGAACGCCGGCGGUAGGCCUAACACAUGCAAGUCGAACGGCAGCACAGGAGAGCUUGCUCUCUGGGUGGCGAGUGGCGGACGGGUGAGGAAUACAUCGGAAUCUACUUUUUCGUGGGGGAUAACGUAGGGAAACUUACGCUAAUACCGCAUACGACCUACGGGUGAAAGCAGGGGAUCUUCGGACCUUGCGCGAUUGAAUGAGCCGAUGUCGGAUUAGCUAGUUGGCGGGGUAAAGGCCCACCAAGGCGACGAUCCGUAGCUGGUCUGAGAGGAUGAACAGCCACACUGGAACUGGGACACGGUCCAGACUCCUACGGGAGGCAGCAGUGGGUAAUAUUGGACAAUGGGCGCAAGCCUGAUCCAGCCAUACCGCGUGGGUGAAGAAGGCCUUCGGGUUGUAAAGCCCUUUUGUUGGGAAAGAAAUCCAGCUGGUUAAUACCCGGUUGGGAUGACGGUACCCAAAGAAUAAGCACCGGCUAACUUCGUGCCAGCCGCCGCGGUAA